rnacentral:rRNA from 1 species
UCUCCUGGAAACGGGUGGUAAUGCCGGAUGUUCCACAUGAGCGCAUGCGAGUGUGGGAAAGGCUUUUUGCGGCAUGGGAUGGGGUCGCGUCCUAUCAGCUUGUUGGUGGGGUAACGGCCUACCAAGGCGUUGACGGGUAGCCGGCCUGAGAGGGCGACCGGCCACAUUGGGACUGAGAUACGGCCCAGACUCCUACGGGAGGCAGCAGUGGGGAAUAUUGCACAAUGGGCGCAAGCCUGAUGCAGCGACGCCGCGUGCGGGAUGGAGGCCUUCGGGUUGUAAACCGCUUUUGUUCAAGGGCAAGGCACGGUUUCGGCCGUGUUGAGUGGAUUGUUCGAAUAAGCACCGGCUAACUACGUGCCAGCAGCCGCGGUAAUACGUAGGGUGCAAGCGUUAUCCGGAUUUAUUGGGCGUAAAGGGCUCGUAGGCGGUUCGUCGCGUCCGGUGUGAAAGUCCAUCGCUUAACGGUGGAUCCGCGCCGGGUACGGGCGGGCUUGAGUGCGGUAGGGGAGACUGGGAAUUCCCGGUGUAACGGUGGAAUGUGUAGAUAUCGGGAAGAACACCA